UUGGAGGGCAAGUCUGGUGCCAGCAGCCGCGGUAAUUCCAGCUCCAAUAGCGUAUAUUUAAGUUGUUGCAGUUAAAAAGCUCGUAGUUGAAUUUCGGGGUUAGUAGGUUGGUCAUGCCACUGGUAUGUACUGGUCUCACUGAUUCCUCCUUCCUGAUGAGCCGUAAUGCCAUUAAUUUGGUGUUGCGAGGAAUCUGGACUGUUACUUUGAAAAAAUUAGAGUGUUUAAAGCAGGCUAACGCUUGAAUACAUUAGCAUGGAAUAAUGAAAUAGGACGUUCGAUCCUAUUUUGUUGGUUUCUAGGAUUGACGUAAUGAUUAAUAGGGAUAGUUGGGGGCAUUAGUAUUCAAUUGUCAGAGGUGAAAUUCUUGGAUUUAUUGAAGACUAACUACUGCGAAAGCAUUUGCCAAGGAUGUUUUCAUUAAUCAAGAACGAAAGUUAGGGGAUCGAAGACGAUCAGACACCGUCGUAGUCUUAACCAUAAACUAUGCCGACUAGGGAUCGGAUGAUGUUAUUUUUAAUGACUCAUUCGGCGCCUUACGGGAAACCAAAGUGUUUGGGUUC
rnacentral:rRNA from 1 species